rnacentral:tRNA from 1 species
GCCUGGGUGGUGGAAUUGGUAGACACGCAGGACUUAAAAUCCUGUGAUACUUAAAUAUCGUACGGGUUCGACCCCCGUCCCGGGUA